rnacentral:rRNA from 1 species
UACGUAGGGUGCGAGCGUUGUCCGGAAUUACUGGGCGUAAAGAGCUCGUAGGUGGUUUGUCGCGUUGUUCGUGAAAUCUCACGGCUUAACUGUGAGCGUGCGGGCGAUACGGGCAGACUAGAGUACUGCAGGGGAGACUGGAAUUCCUGGUGUAGCGGUGGAAUGCGCAGAUAUCAGGAGGAACACCGGUGGCGAAGGCGGGUCCCUGGGCAGUAACUGACGCUCAGGCACGAAAGCGUGGGGAGCAAACAGG